rnacentral:snRNA from 1 species
GUGCUCCCUUCAGCAGCACAUACAUGAAAAUUGGAAUGGCAGAGAUUAGCACGGCCCCUGAACUGAGAUGACAUGCAGGCAUGAAGCAGUCCAUCAAAAUAAA